rnacentral:rRNA from 1 species
UACGUAGGGGGCUAGCGUUGUCCGGAAUCAUUGGGCGUAAAGCGCGCGUAGGCGGUCAGGUAAGUCCGGUGUGAAAGUCAAAGGCUCAACCUUUGAAUGCCGCUGGAUACUGCCUGACUUGAGUCCGGAAGGGGCGAGUGGAAUUCCUGGUGUAGCGGUGAAAUGCGCAGAUAUCAGGAGGAACACCAAUGGCGAAGGCAGCUCGCUGGGACGUAACUGACGCUGAGACGCGAAAGCGUGGGGAGCAAACAGG